GCUGUGCUUCAGUCAUUACAUUUCCAUUUGCGUGAAAUUAUGUAACUUUCGAGUGCGCGGACUGUUACAUUUUAUGUACUAUGCCUAAUGUAAUCUAUCAUAGUGGCCACUGGAAAUAGAAGCAUACGACUAUAGCCACAGAAAACGGCAGAUGUUGGGCCGAAGUUAUACACGUGCAUUAGUGCAAAUGGAAACUGUAUUAGUACAAAACUAAACAUGAACAUUAGCUCCAUUAAAUUACCAGACCUUCUAACAUGCGAUUCGAUCAUUACUGAUGCCACAAGUGUGGCACAUUCCACGUGAUUCCGCAAAAAGCAAUUUCUAAAAAUCUUGCCAGCUGUAAAAGCGACUGUUGCCCUCCAAGACCCUUCGUGUGGCAGAAAGAUGGCUAUCAAACCCGUUCCCAGCAUCUCCUGUUCCCGGUAGAGGACUGCGCGAUCCCCUGGUCUUUCUUGGUCGCUUCCAGCGAAGGCUUACGCUCACCGUGUUCCUGCUGCGGUGGAGAAUUCGUGGCAGGAUCGGUCCGAGCUGACUGACCUCUGUAGAUCUGAUUGUCUUCUUCAGUGGAGACUUCCUCUUACUGCUCAGUACACUUCUUGCUGAGUCAUCACAUACCUGUCAAACGAGUCCUGCCAGGUAACAGCGGCUGCACCCUCUGCCCUGCAGUGCGAUGCCCGUGGUUGAACUCAG